UGACAAUGGCAGACCUCUUUUGGCAUCUAGCACUUUCUUUUCUGAAUAAGUAGAUUAUUGCUAGCAUGAAAAUGAUGUGUGGUUUGAGUAGUGUGAUAAUAUAUUUGUCUGAUUUCCACUUUGCUGGUUUUCCAAUUCUACAUGAGAUUACCAGUUCAUAAUACCUGGUGGAGAUUUUUAUUUGAGACCCUACAUGUUUAAGACAUGGCAAAUUAUAUCUGAAUUAUGAGCUUUCGAGGCUGGUUAAUGCUGUGUAAAGUCGACGAUCGAUGAACCGAAGUUUUCAGGUAACUAAUUACUUGUCUUUUUGGUUGAUCACUUUGAUGCAAAUGUCAAGAGACCUAUUCUCAGCUGGAAAGGUCUUCUGACACUCGAGUACUAUGCAGAUUUCUUCUAAUUGCCUUCCUAAUCAUCUCCAGCAAAGGACAGUAGUUUUCAGAAAGAAAAGUAGCAGCAUUGUUCUUGGCUUUGCUAUGAUUUACCACUCACAGCAAAAAGCUAAUGUCAUUUUGCUUCCAUUCUUGAAAUGUGAUGUACAAAUGUUGCACUUGCAGUUUUCCAUCACAACCUUUUCCAAUAAACAAAUCUACUUCACCAGAAUUUAGUAGUUCUUAGCCUUCUUUCUUUCCUGUUUGGCUUCAGUAUCAGGCUGCUUGCUCACUCUGAUGUUAUAACCAUAAGAUUGAUCCAAAUAUGCCUACAAAGAUAUGUGUACAGGAUGUUCUUUUCGGCUAUAUCUUUGUUUGUCUGGAUGACAGGAAUGUUAGUAAACCAGAGUGUUCAUCCCAACACAGGAAACAGUAGGGAGGAGGUUUUGUCUUGUUCUUGGACACCAGCAUCUUGAAGACUCUUUUUGACUCCAUUUCCUGUCUUCCCAAAGGCACUGACACACCUCACUAUCCUCUUCUCUUGUUCUUGAAAGACCAGAUGGAACCUACAAGGUUGUCCAGGGCAGUAGCUAAACAUCCAUCAUUAGCAUUCUGAAGGUGAAUGAUAUAAGCUGUGCUUGUUUCCAUCUUGCCAUCAGAAUUCGAGUCUCAGGCUGAUGAGCAGAAAAAGUGAUCUGAUAUCAAUAGUCAAGGUUGAAUGAGUUUCAAAUUAAACUCUCACAAAUCUGACCUCCGAACGAGCUUAUAUCGAUCAGAUUUCAAGUAAACUGAUACAUUUCUGCAAUCCAUGAACAUUUGAAACAGUUGCAGGUAGGAAUUCUUGCACCAGUCGACAUAAGUUGGAACUAAUUCCUGGCUCAAACAUGCUUGUUCUUCGGCUGCACUCAGGUCUUGAAAUGGUGAGGAUGCUUCAUCAAACUUGGAUCAAACCUGCUUAUUGAUGCUUCAUCAACUACGUGUUCAAAGGACACAUGAAAGGAUGCUGAAAAGGGUGGGAAGAAAGUUGAUGCAUUAUUUCUUCAGCAAAGAUGCAGCAGCAGCAGCAGCAGGAACGAUGAUUGGGUCUUCCACCAAUCUGUCAUGGAAUUUUUUGAGUACGGAGUAGACCAGGAGUUGACAUCUGCUACCCCAUCUCUGCACUCUCUUCUGUCUGUGUUGAAUAGGCUCAAGCACCAUAUGGUAGAAUUAGGCCUAAAAGACCAAAUCCUUUGUGCAAACAGAUUGAAAUCAAGUAGCCUUCUUCUUCUUUUUUGUCUCAGCCAAUAUAUCGAUUUCCAGUAAAGCAAAACUUUGGUAUA